CAAGAACAGCAAAAUCUCUGCUUCUCCUUCUCUCCUGCCUCUCCAUCAAAUCUUCAUCCAUCCUCCUCAGCAUUGGAGGCUUCGGUGUGCUAGAUAAUACAACCUUUUGUCCCAUCAGCUUGUAUGGUUUAUACUUCCAGUGGUGAAAUUUGGGUGAUUUUAACAGCAUCAAGAAAGUGGCUACUAGCUUAAUAAGUUGCACUCUGGAAAAUUUCUUUGCUAAUGAAAAGCCUGCUGUGACCCAAGUUCUAUAGACUGGUGACCAUCCUGCUUGUCUUUGAGGAGUUUAAAUAAUGGAUUAAUGGAGAAGAUAAAACCCUGCUCCAUACGGAGCAGAUUCUGAGGAGGAGGCUGUCUACCUGACUUCAUUUCUUGCUGCUGUCGUCAUCAGUGCUGCUCUCAUUAUUCUCUGACUUCAAUUUCAUUUUCAUUGACCCUGCAACAUGGACUGAAGAUUAGAAACUCUGUGGGAGUAUUCUCAACUUUCAUCACCAGCUUGGGACUACUGAGGUCUGCCUGCCAAUGAUCAUGCUUUCGCACCAUGAACCUCUAGAACUAUACUCGGGAAUAAAUUCUUCCUUCAAUCAAGUUAUUUAUUUUUAUUACAACAACAGAAAAUUGACUAAGUGCCCUGCUCAGAGUCACCUGAGGCCUGGGAACUACUCACUCGGGCACCCAUCCAGGUGGUCCAGCCCAUCCAGAGACUGCCAGGGUCCUGAUUCCGUCUCCACCCAGUGGAAGAGGAGAACCAUCGGAGUAUUGGACCUACUCGCACCCACUGGAUGGGAACCUUGGACCCAUACCCAUCAGGAGAAACUCCACCUGUACCCACUGGAAGAAGGGCUGGAAAGAAGGCAACAUAAAAACACAUUCAACAAUAGAAAAAACAAUAAGACACCACCAGAGUCUAGGGACUCUACACCAGCAAGACCUGAUGAACAACACAGUGCAGAUGAAGCAGAAGACAAUGACCUUAAAAACAAUUUAAUGAAAAUGAUAGAGGUCCUCAAAGAGGAUAUGAGAAAAUCCAUUGAAGAAAUGGAAGAAAAUUGUAUAAGUUGAAUUGAGAAUUUAAUUUCUUAUUAUAUUAUCUUGACAAAAUCUUAAAUAAAUGUUAUAAAACAUCAGAUUUUAAUUUUUCUGAAAAUUGUACAUAUUUUAAUUUUAACCUUACAAAAUAUGCACAUAUAAUAAAUUAUAUC
ensembl:lncRNA